CCGCCCACUUCUUGGCUCCAUUUCUCGCAAUCUCCGAAUCUCUUUGAUUAUAUAAUCUUCUCUCACGUUUGUACACAACGCACCAGAAAUCAUCAGAAAUUUAUGGCCAAAUUGUUAGCCUUCUCCUGCAUUUGCACCUACACCUUCAGCUUUGCUUCUUCUUUUCUCUUCAAAUGCACAAGGCCACUGAGGUGCAGGUGCUUCUGCAAGUGAAUGCCAUCUUGGCUCUCUCUCUCUCUCUCUCCGCCACCGCCGCCAUCUCCUCCCCAUACGGUUUUUUCAGGUUGAGAAGAAUGGGACUCUACCAAAGGAGGUCACUUCUAGAGGUCACUUGUGGUUUGGAGCCCGUCGGAGAAUAUAUUUUCCGAUGAUUCUAGGUCGGCUUCAAUCUAACUUGGAUCGCAUUUGGCAACGACCCAUUAGCAAGUGCUAGCUUGACAAGCCAAGUCGAGGGAGUGUGUGAGCUCACUUGGCGGGCCCAUGCACGCACGCGUGAGCCAUCCAUAGAGAAGUACUAUACAUCUAACCUCGUUGAGCCUAAAGUCAUGUUAUGAUGUUUUAAGAGGAUAAAUCUUACCAUGUUGCAUGUGUUUGCCUUUUCU